rnacentral:rRNA from 1 species
GUGCAGCAGGCGAGAAACCUCCGCAAUACACGAAAGUGUGACGGGGCCAUCCCGAGUGCCGUCCGCUGAGGACGGCUUUUCCCCAGUGUACACAGCUGGGGGAAUAAGGAGAGGGCAAGCCUGGUGUCAGCCGCCGCGGUAAUACCAGCUCUCCGAGUGGUGGGGACGCUUAUUGGGCCUGAAGCAUCCGUAGCCGGCUGGGCAAGUCCUCCGUUAAAUCCAACGAUUCAAUCGUUGGGCUGCGGGGGAUACUGUCCAGCUUGGGGGCGGGAGAGGCCGACGGUAUUCCCGGGGUAGGGGUGAAAUCCUAUAAUCCCGGGAGGACCACCAGUGGCGAAGGCUGUCGGCUAGAACGCGCCCGACGGUGAGGGAUGAAAGCUGGGGGAGCGAACCGGAUUAGAUA